GACGAACGCUGGCGGCGUGCUUAACACAUGCAAGUCGAGCGGAAAGGCCCUGCGGGGUACUCGUGCGGGGAACGGGUGAGUAACACGAGAGUAACCUGCCCCAGACUUUGGGAUAGCCCUCGGAUACGGGGGCUAAUACUGGAUACGACACAGCUUCGCAUGGGGUUGGUGUGGAAAGGUUGUCGGCUUGGGAUGGGCACGCGGCUUAUCAGCUUGUUGGUGGGGUGAUGGCCUACCAAGGCCACGACGGGUAGCCGGCCUGAGAGGGCGACCGGCCACACUGGGACUGAGAUACGGCCCAGACUCCUACGGGAGGCAGCAGUGGGGAAUAUUGCACAAUGGGCGGAAGCCUGAUGCAGCGACGCCGCGUGAGGGAUGACGGCCUUCGGGUUGUAAACCGCUUUCAGCUGGGACGAAGCGUAAGUGACGGUAACUGCAGAAGAAGCGCCGGCUAACUACGUG
rnacentral:rRNA from 1 species